rnacentral:rRNA from 1 species
ACCCGUACCCAUCUCGAACACGGAAGUUAAGCUCUUUAGCGUCGAUGGUACUGCAUGGGAGACUGUGUGGGAGAGUAGAACGCCGCCGGUU